UACGUAGGUGGCAAGCGUUGUCCGGAUUUACUGGGCGUAAAGAGCGCGCAGGCGGUCAGAUAAGUCGAAUGUGAAAGCCCCCGGCUCAACUGGGGAGGGUCAUUCGAUACUGUUCGACUCGAAGGCAGGAGAGGGAAGUGGAAUUCCCGGUGUAGUGGUGAAAUGCGUAGAUAUCGGGAGGAACACCAGUGGCGAAGGCGGUUCUCUGGGCCUUACCUGACGCUGAGGAGCGAAAGCGUGGGGAGCGAACAGG
rnacentral:rRNA from 1 species